AUUUUUAAAAGCCGGCCGGCAGAAUGUCUCCUUAGCCUUAACGGACCCGCUUCCUGGUCCCUCAGCUGCUUCUGAUGUUUCUUCUUGCCUAAGAAAAAAUAAAAUGUGGUGUACAGUAAACUUUUAAUGAAAACACAGCAUCCCAGGAGACUGAACGCCUGCCGCUGUGUGUUUCCACUGUUCAACAGCUGACACAGGGAUUCUGAUGCCGCUGCUGUGCUGCUUAGUUUCUCUGAACACUUUUUUUUUUUAACUGUACUAAUGGUAUGUCAUUUUUUCUAUUGUUAAGCACUCAUGUGUGAAUAAGUGUAAGAAAAUGAUGGCUUAUCAGGAGCAUAUAAAUUCAGAGUCAGGAGCUAGGCACGGUGGUUCACGCCUAUAAUCCCAGCACUUUGGGAGGCCGAGGUGGGUGGAUCACCUGAGGUCAGCAGUUCAAGACCAGCCUGGCCAACAUGGUGAAACCCCGUCUCUACUAAAAAUACAAAAGUCAGCUGGGCAUAGUGGCAGGCGCCUGUAAUCCCAGCUACUUGGGAGGCUGAGACAGGAGAAUCGCUUAAACUUGGGAGGCAGUGGUUACAGUGAGCCGAGUUCGCACCAUUGCCCUCCAGCCUGGGUGACAAGAGAGGACGACGUGUUAGAUCACUUUCAAAUCCACACCAAGUGGAGACUCUGCUGGAUGGGCGGAGCGCAGGCUGGCUCCAGGCCUUCCUGUUCCUGGCUCCGCCACCACCGGGCACGCUCAAUUUCUUCCCCUCACAUUCACCCAGAAUGGGUCUAUGUCCAGCCUGGUGGGGACCCUGCCUGGGCUGGGGGCUUGUCUCCCCACCAAAGAGGAGAUAUAGCAGGUACAGGCACCAGCACAUGGCGGGGCUCAGAAUAUCCCCGCUGGAUUGAAUAUGUGACUUCAG
rnacentral:lncRNA from 10 species